AUUCGAUUAGAGUUUGAUCAUGGCUCAGAACGUACGCUGGCGGCACGCCUAACACAUGCAAGUCGAACGAAGUAGCAAUACUUAGUGGCAGACGGGUGAGUAACAUGUAGGUAUCUACCCUUUGGCCUGGAAUAACACGAGGAAACUUGUGCUAAUACCGGAUAAGUCUUUACGGAGAAAGCUUUAUGCACCAUUGGAUGAGCCUGCACUUGAUUAGUUUGUUGGUAGGGUAAUGGCCUACCAAGACUUUGAUCAAUAGCUGAUUUGAGAGGAUGAUCAGCCACAUUGGGACUGAGACACGGCCCAAACUCCUACGGGAGGCAGCAGUGGGGAAUCUUGCACAAUGGAGGAAACUCUGAUGCAGCGAUGCCGCGUGAGUGAAGAAGGCCUUUGGGUUGUAAAGCUCUUUCGUCGGGGAAGAAAAUGACUGUACCCGAAUAAGAAGGUCCGGCUAACUUCGUGCCAGCAGCCGCGGUAAUACGAAGGGACCUAGCGUAGUUCGGAAUUACUGGGCUUAAAGAGUUCGUAGGUGGUUGAAAAAGUUGGUGGUGAAAUCCCAGAGCUUAACUCUGGAACUGCCAUCAAAACUUUUCAGCUAGAGUUUGAUAGAGGAAAGCAGAAUUUCUAGUGUAGAGGUGAAAUUCGUAGAUAUUAGAAAGAAUACCAAUUGCGAAGGCAGCUUUCUGGAUCAUUACUGACACUGAGGAACGAAAGCAUGGGUAGCGAAGAGGAUUAGAUACCCUCGUAGUCCAUGCCGUAAACGAUGUGUGUUAGACGUUGGAAAUUUAUUUUCAGUGUCGCAGCGAAAGCGAUAAACACACCGCCUGGGGAGUACGACCGCAAGGUUAAAACUCAAAUGAAUUGACGGGGACCCGCACAAGUAGUGGAGCAUGUGGUUUAAUUCGAAGAUACGCGCAGAACCUUACCAACACUUGACAUGUUCGUCGCGAUUUUAAGAGAUUAAAGUUUUCGGUUCGGCCGGACGAAACACAGGUGCUGCAUGGCUGUCGUCAGCUCGUGUCGUGAGAUGUUGGGUUAAGUCCCGCAACGAGCGCAACCCUCACUUUUAGUUGCCAUCAUUUAGUUGGGCACUCUGAAAGAACUGCCAGUGAUAAGCUGGAGGAAGGUGGGGAUGACGUCAAGUCCUCAUGGCCCUUACGUGUUGGGCUACACACGUGCUACAAUGGUAUCUACAACAGGAAGCAGAACGGCGACGUUAAGCAAAUCCUUAAAAGAUACCUCAGUUCGGAUUGUACUCUGCAACUCGAGUACAUGAAGCUGGAAUUACUAGUAAUCGUGGAUCAGCGUGCCACGGUGAAUGCGUUCCGCGGGUCUUGUACACACCGCCCGUA
rnacentral:rRNA from 1 species